UUUUGGAAUUUUCGUUGAAGGACACGAUGCGUGUUAGUUUUUUAUCAAUCGUGUUGAUCACGCGUGUCAGCGUCGCGCAGUCGUACAGCGCGUGUCGUGCUUACAGGAAAAUUUACUGCUUCGCAAUUUAAAUUUUUUUUUUUUCAAAAUUAUUAGUCUGAGGCAAUGAACGAUUUUUCAGUCAGUGAUAAACUGGAACCGAAGAAAGAUCGGAGCUUUAACCUAUCUUGAGUUUACCUUUGAAUAUGUUCCGAGCACCUCUAUAAUUUCCCGUAGCCGUGUUUCUCUUGCAAGAAAUCCGAUGUCCAUCGGCACCUGUAGGGGACUUCUGUUGUUUUUCAGCGCCUUUGCCGCCCUUGCCCUUGUUUCCCGAGCCCAAGGUGGUCUGAAAUGGGGCAGUCACAGGGAGAAUGAGCAUAGGAUCUACAUUGCGACGCGAAGGGAGCCUUGCAAUCCGGCGAUCACUUGCCUCUCGGAAGACGCCCUAUGGUCGGCCAUCGUAGAGCGUCCCCAGCCCCAGGCCACGGGCCCUCAACUUUGCGAGUCGCUAAGGAAGAGCUUCAACCAGCUUCACGUGUCACUACACGGAGACUGCCCCAAUCCAGUCGCUGCUGAAUGCACUUCGCUCAAAUGCACCUUCGUCAUGGAUACUUCUUCGCCGACCGCCUUAUUCCGCAGCAACUCCAGACGGAGGAAGGCUUUCAGUGAGUGUGCUAUGAAAAUCAAGGAAAAACACGCGGAGUUUAUGGAAAGUGAAAACAAGUUUCUGGAGAAGAAAAACACCGCCAAGCCAACGAAUCCUUGCACAUGUCCACACUGCCGCCAUUGCCCUUUGGCCAUCUACGGUUGUCCCUACUGCCCCUUAAAUCCGAGGAAAGUCCGCUCCAACGAGUUGGAAAGGCCAGAUGAAGAAUACGCAGGAAUGAGGGAAAGUGUAGGGAGUUUGAACAUUCCAGCCCUGUUGGGAAGGGGAAAGUCCAACCGUUAUGAUGAGCCUCCCCUGAGCAUGGCAAGCUUGUUAUCCAAUGCCGCGAGACCCUCCAGCAGGAACCCCAAUAUUCCUGCGCUUGCAUAUCAGACUCCAAACGCAAGGUCGAACAUGAGCACCAAGGGGAAAAAUAUCGACCAUUCUCAGUAUUACAGCAGUCAGUCCAAUUAUGCGUCGUCAUCGAAGCCGUAAUCAAAGCCAUCUUCAUUUCGUGAGGUCAUCCUAACGUAACGUUACGUAAGUUACGUAACGUUUUAUGGGGUGGUUUGGAGUAGGAGUCUUUGUAAGUGCCACGCAGAGUUACAAAGGAUUGGGUAGGGUGUCCGUUAUCUUUGAAAUUUGAGGAAAAUUAACCUCUCCUGGUCUCCUAACGUGCUAUGUGGUGUAAACAUAAGUAAUGUGUUUUGGAAAACAUCUUUAAAAAAACUCUUCGAGACCUCUCAGGCGCCCUAAAAGGCGCACAUCUAAAGAUUGUUAUUUUGGCGAAAAUAGUGUCGUUUCUCGAUAGAAAUCAUCAAAUUAAGACCCUUUAAGGCAAAAAUUUUGUCCGGUUGGCAAAGGUAAUAGAGCGAAGCAUUUCGUAACUAUUUUUAACGAUUUUUCCAAGUUUUCCCGCGAGUUCCAUCCGUUGUCCCCAGCAGUUUUGAACAAUUGGUUCUAAGAAAAAAAUGGCCCUAUUGCUAAUUGUUAGUGGCAAAAAUACCUGCACCGAAAAACAAAAAGAGAAGAAAAAAAAUGACGUGAGGUUCAGAAUCUGUACGCUAGGUCAGUCAGCGGACGACGAUUUUGCCCCAACAGUCUAGACUCGUGGCCAGCUGAUGACAGUUCUCAAGACGUUAAUUCCGCACAUGGUGGCAGGUUUUUUUUAUUUUUUUUAUUUUUUUUUGUACUGCACGACAUUUAUGUGGACUGUUAAUGCAAAGCUAAUUUUAUUCUUCUCCGGAUGCAUUUGCCCUACGUCCAUGAACUCCUGACGUCCUGUAAUGGCGUUAGUAUUUUGUUUUUAUUAUAUUUUCUUGAAGAUGUGGGAUGCGAGCCAGCAAUUAGCCAACCCAAUCUGAGAGGGAGAAACGACAUAUCAUCAAGUUCUGCGAGUGACGAAUAUACGUAGAUUCUUAUUUGCGAAGCUAUUACACCAAAAAUAAAAUCCUCAAAACAGUCCGGUGCAAUAAAUUAAGACACGAAAAUGAAAGAGCUAUAGUGGUAGUUGGAUGAUAUGAGCAUUUCCAAUUAAUUGUGGUUGUACCCCAAUAAAUUAGGUUAUUAAUCCAAAUGUUGCUUUAAUACCCCAACUUGAGUUGCGGCUCUACCACAAUUAAUCGGAAAUGCUCAAAUCAUCCAACCAACUGGGGUAUUGAGCCAAAAUUUUAGAGGUAUUACCCUAACACUUUUUUUUCCCCCGUGGAGCAAGUAUUUAAGCUCCAUGAUAAGUAAAAACUCGAAUAACUCGUACUUGAUGAGUGAGGACCUCAUUUUGUUAGGCAAAAAACUUAACUCCCGAGUUUGCCUUCCAGAACUCUGAUGAAAAUUGUCGAUACGGGAAUCGCCAUCGCCCUGUAAAAUACUUUCUAUCCGAGUAUUCAACCACAUAAUAUACUUCAUCAUCUGUUUUACAAGGAUGCAGAAAAGUCCCAGCCUUCUUAUGUCAAGAACUCUCUCCUCCCUAAAAUGUCUGAGUGAUCAACACAAGGUUAAUGUAUGUGUUACGGUCAGAACCUGAAAACCGAGCAAAACGCGAUUGGCCCGGGCAAAAUGCUGCAAUUUUCAUCGCGUGAAAGACACGCGAUACCAUGACUCCUAAAUAAGGCAUCACAAAUUGUGGGAAAAUCAAAACAUGGAACACCCUUGGAAGCACAUAUUUUAAAGUGUAAUACUUGAGCAGUAUUUAAGCAAUCCAUUUUUAUGCGGAUAUUUAGCUUGAAGUGUGCAAGGAGAUCAUAAUUGGAGGUGUGAUUGCAUCAGAUGACACAAAUUUGACUUGCAGCUAUACCAGCAGUCUAACUUUCAUGAGAAAUGGAUCAGAAGACGUCGAGUAGUACCUCAAGGGAUAGAAAACGAGGUUAUAUAGGAUAACUUAACCACAAAUAUUCACACUAUCAUGAAAGAAAAGAGCUCAUGAAGUUUAUCCUAAGCUUUUGGGGAAGAUUGAUCGGAAAAUCGUAUUAUUCUCGGAGUAGAGUUUGUAUAAAACUCUGUUCGAUCAAAAACUGGUUUAUUCGUAGCUGCCGUCAUUUAACAGAUAAUCACUGUAAUAUUAUGUAAUAAUUAAUGUAAACUAUAGUAUUAUGAAAUGUACCAUAGCCAACUAGAUUAAAUAAAUAUAAUCUUAUCAUCUUAUUUCAGCUUAUCUUCUAUCAGUAUCAGCCAACUCAAAUCGACGCACGGAAGUCAACAGUGGCGAGGUGUGCUUUGCGAUAUAUCGAUUGAUCUACCAUUUAAAUGUAUGGAAAAAGAUCGAUAAACAGAGUGCGCGGAACGAACACCUUAAUAAUCGAUUCUUUACCAUAGCUUCAAAUUCGAUCUUUCACGCCUCGCCACUGUCACCAUAAGCCA
rnacentral:lncRNA from 1 species